rnacentral:rRNA from 1 species
GGGCCCGCACAAGCGGUGGAGUAUGUGGUUUAAUUCGAUGCAACGCGAAGAACCUUACCAGGGUUUGACAUCCUGCGAAUCUCUUGGAAACGAGAGAGUGCCUUCGGGAACGCAGUGACAGGUGGUGCAUGGCUGUCGUCAGCUCGUGUCGUGAGAUGUUGGGUUAAGUCCCGCAACGAGCGCAACCCACGUCUUUAGUUGCCAGCAUUUAGUUGGGGCACUCUAGAGAGACCGCCGGUGAUAAACCCGGAGGAAGGUGUGGAUGACGUCAAGUCAUCAUGCCCCUUACAUCCUGGGCUACACACGUACUACAAUGCUACGGACAAAGGAGCAGCAAGUUCGCGAGGACAAGCAAA